UUAUAUUUUCAGGCGAAAACUCGAAAUCGAUUUCCAUUGAAAUAGUACAUAAAAAAUAACAAGGAAGGCAGAAAACAAAAAGCAAGAGGGAGAAUAACCAAAUCUGGUAUAUUAUUGAAUAAUUAUUUAUAAAACUAUUACACAACGUAAACAAGAAGAAAAAAAUCCGUAUACACUUUUUAAUUUAUUAUAAACGGCUCUAUUUAUUAUAUAAUAUCCCAACUGUCUACGGAAGUAAUCAAGGUGUUCAUCAGUAAUGUGUGAUUUACCCGCUUUCCACGGAGCUCCUCAGGU
rnacentral:lncRNA from 1 species